UACGAAGGGGGCUAGCGUUGCUCGGAAUUACUGGGCGUAAAGCGUGCGCAGGCGGUUGUGCAAGACAGAUGUGAAAUCCCCGGGCUUAACCUGGGAAUUGCAUUGAGGACUGGCGUGCUCGAGUGCGGCAGAGGGGGGUGGAAUUCCACGUGUAGCAGUGAAAUGCGUAGAGAUGUGGAGGAACACCGAUGGCGAAGGCAGCCCCCUGGGCCGACACUGACGCCUCAUGCACGAAAGCGUGGGGAGCAAACAGG
rnacentral:rRNA from 1 species